rnacentral:rRNA from 1 species
GAUAAACGCUGGCGGCGUGCAUGAGACAUGCAAGUCGAACGAAGGAUCGGGCUUGCUCGAUCCUUAGUGGCGGACGGCUGAGUAACGCGUAGGUGACCUACCCCGAAGUGGGGAAUAACUGCCCGAAAGGGUGGCUAAUACCGCAUGUGGUCGCACGUUCAUUCGUGCGAGUAAAGCCGCAAGGCGCUUCGGGAGGGGCCUGCGUCCGAUUAGCUCGUUGGUGGGGUAAUGGCUUACCAAGGCGACGCUCGGUAGGUGGUCUGAGAGGACGAUCACCCAGACUGGGACUGAGACACGGCCCAGACUCCUACGGGAGGCAGCAGUCGGGAAUUUUGCUCAAUGGGGGAAACCCUGAAGCAGCAACGCCGCGUGAGGGAUGAAGGCCUUCGGGUUGUAAACCUCUUUUGUCAGGGACGAUGAUGACGGUACCUGGCGAAUAAGCCACGGCUAACUACGUG